AUUGAACGCUGGCGGCAGGCUUAACACAUGCAAGUCGAGCGGAGAGAGGUAGCUUGCUACUGAUCUUAGCGGCGGACGGGUGAGUAAUGCUUAGGAAUCUGCCUAUUAGUGGGGGACAACAUUUCGAAAGGAAUGCUAAUACCGCAUACGACCUGAGGGUGAAAGGGGGGGAUCGCAAGACCUCUCGCUAUUGGAGCGGCCGAUGUCAGAUUAGCUAGUUGGUGGGGUAAAGGCCUACCAAGGCAACGAUCUGUAGUUGGUCUGAGAGGACGACCAGCCACACUGGGACUGAGACACGGCCCAGACUCCUACGGGAGGCAGCAGUGGGGAAUUUUGGACAAUGGGCGAAAGCCUGAUCCAGCCAUGCCGCGUGUCUGAAGAAGGCCUUCGGGUUGUAAAGGACUUUUGUCAGGGAGGAAAUCCCUAGCGUUAAUACCGCUGGGGGAUGACAGUACCUGAAGAAUAAGCACCGGCUAACUACGUGCCAGCCGCCGCGGUAACAC
rnacentral:rRNA from 1 species